rnacentral:rRNA from 1 species
GGGUUGUGAGGUUAAGCGACUAAGCGUACACGGUGGAUGCCCUGGCAGUCAGAGGCGAUGAAGGACGUGCUAAUCUGCGAUAAGCGCCGGUAAGGUGAUAUGAACCGUUAUAACCGGCGAUUUCCGAAUGGGGAAACCCAGUGUGAUUCGUCACACUAUCAUUAACUGAAUCCAUAGGUUAAUGAGGCGAACCGGGGGAACUGAAACAUCUAAGUACCCCGAGGAAAAGAAAUCAACCGAGAUUCCCCCAGUAGCGGCGAGCGAACGGGGAGGAGCCCAGAGCCUGAAUCAGCAUGUGUGUUAGUGGAAGCGUCUGGAAAGGCGCGCGAUACAGGGUGACAGCCCCGUACA